rnacentral:rRNA from 1 species
GAUGAACGCUGGCGGCGUGCCUAAUACAUGCAAGUCGAGCGAACAGAUGAGGAGCUUGCUCCUCUGACGUUAGCGGCGGACGGGUGAGUAACACGUGUAUAACCUACCUAUAAGACUGGGAUAACUUCGGGAAACCGGAGCUAAUACCGGAUAAUAUAUUGAACCGCAUGGUUCAAUAGUGAAAUACGGUUUUGCUGUCUCUUCUAGAUGGAUCCGCGCCGCAUUAGCUAGUUGGUAAGGUAACGGCUUACCAAGGCAACGAUGCGUAGGCGACGUGAGAGGGUGAUCGGCCACACUGGAGCUGAGACACGGUCCAGAGUCCUACGGGAGGCAGCAGUAGGGAAUGUUCCGCAAUGGGCGAGAGCCUGACGGAGCAACGCCGCGUGAGUGAUGAAGGUCUUCGGAUCGUAAAACUCUGUUAUUAGGGAAGAACAAAUGUGUAAGUAACUAUGCACGUAUUGACGGUACCUAAUCAGAAAGCCACGGCUAACUACGUG